CAAGUCGAGCGAACGGACGAGAAGCUUGCUUCUCUGAUGUUAGCGGCGGACGGGUGAGUAACACGUGGAUAACCUACCUAUAAGACUGGGAUAACUUCGGGAAACCGGAGCUAAUACCGGAUAAUAUUUUGAACCGCAUGGUUCAAAAGUGAAAGACGGUCUUGCUGUCACUUAUAGAUGGAUCCGCGCUGCAUUAGCUAGUUGGUAAGGUAACGGCUUACCAAGGCAACGAUGCAUAGCCGACCUGAGAGGGUGAUCGGCCACACUGGAACUGAGACACGGUCCAGACUCCUACGGGAGGCAGCAGUAGGGAAUCUUCCGCAAUGGGCGAAAGCCUGACGGAGCAACGCCGCGUGAGUGAUGAAGGUCUUCGGAUCGUAAAACUCUGUUAUUAGGGAAGAACAUAUGUGUAAGUAACUGUGCACAUCUUGACGGUACCUAAUCAGAAAGCCACGGCUAACUACGUGCCAGCAGCCGCGGUAAUACGUAGGUGGCAAGCGUUAUCCGGAAUUAUUGGGCGUAAAGCGCGCGUAGGCGGUUUUUUAAGUCUGAUGUGAAAGCCCACGGCUCAACCGUGGAGGGUCAUUGGAAACUGGAAAACUUGAGUGCAGAAGAGGAAAGUGGAAUUCCAUGUGUAGCGGUGAAAUGCGCAGAGAUAUGGAGGAACACCAGUGGCGAAGGCGACUUUCUGGUCUGUAACUG
rnacentral:rRNA from 1 species